rnacentral:rRNA from 1 species
ACGCUGGCGGCACGCCUAACACAUGCAAGUCGAACGAAGUAGCAAUACUUAGUGGCAGACGGGUGAGUAACAUGUAGGUAUCUGCCCUUUGGCCUGGAAUAACACGAGGAAACUUGUGCUAAUACCGGAUAAGUCUUUACGGAGAAAGCUUUAUGCACCAUUGGAUGAGCCUGCACUUGAUUAGUUUGUUGGUAGGGUAAUGGCCUACCAAGACUGUGAUCAAUAGCUGAUUUGAGAGGAUGAUCAGCCACAUUGGGACUGAGACACGGCCCAAACUCCUACGGGAGGCAGCAGUGGGGAAUCUUGCACAAUGGAGGAAACUCUGAUGCAGCGAUGCCGCGUGAGUGAAGAAGGCCCUUGGGUUGUAAAGCUCUUUCGUCGGGGAAGAAAAUGACUGUACCCGAAUAAGAAGGUCCGGCUAACUUCGUGCCAGCAGCCGCGGUAAUACGAAGGGACCUAGCGUAGUUCGGAAUUACUGGGCUUAAAGAGUUCGUAGGUGGUUGAAAAAGUUGGUGGUGAAAUCCCAGAGCUUAACUCUGGAACUGCCAUCAAAACUUUUCAGCUAGAGUAUGAUAGAGGAAAGCAGAAUUUCUAGUGUAGAGGUGAAAUUCGUAGAUAUUAGAAAGAAUACCAAUUGCGAAGGCAGCUUUCUGGAUCAUUACUGACACUGAGGAACGAAAGCAUGGGUAGCGAAGAGGAUUAGAUACCCUCGUAGUCCAUGCCGUAAACGAUGUGUGUUAGACGUUGGAAAUUUAUUUUC